rnacentral:tRNA from 1 species
UAUAAUAUAGUGUAAACUGCACGCAGACCUUUGAAGUCUGAAGAAGAUUCCCCUCUUAUUAUAA